ensembl:lncRNA
UUUCUUCCCAGAGAGCAGCAGCAUUUGCCUCUGCUGUCCACCAAGUUGCUGCUGUGGCAGAGAACCCAGGCCCCUUGGGCCUGGAUCUCCAUUCCCUGAGUGUGCAGCGUCUCCACGGAGGGCAGGGAGACCUGACCAUGACCAGAGAACACCAGCCAGUGCUGUCUCACUGCCACCACACAGCGAGUAUCGGACGCUGCCGUCCCCCACUUUGUACAAGACCCCAGGCAGACACCCUCCUCCAAACCCUUCCACCUCUGACCCCUUCCUCUGCCAAUGGCCACUAACCAACCUGGGCAGCUUGGACUGACUUGUCUCUCUCCCGGGCAUGCACAUCUCCAACCCAGACUUGGAGUGCCGCAGACACAGGGACUCCAGCUGAGCCUCAGAGCCUGUUAUUCUUUUCCUGGACCCUGUGGAUAUCAGGCUGGCCUUGGCUGUAGCAGAUGCCACCCGGGUAAGGAUCAGGCCUCAAGCUUUUAAAAACAUAGUGGAUAUAGAGCCAACCAGGAGAGCCGGGUGUGGUGGCGCACACCUGUGAUUCCAGCACUCAGGAGGCUGAGGCAGGAGGAUCACCAUGAAUUCGAGGCCAGCCUGGAGCUACAUAGUGAGUUCAAGGCCAGCCUGAAUUUCACAGUGAGACUCUGUCUCAAAAAAAAAAAAAAAAAAAAAAAAAAAAAAAAAAAAAAAAAAAAUUCCUAAAUACAGAACCUCAAGUAGAAGCCACCAGGAAGGAAAGUAGGCAUUGGAACUGAAGUGUGAAUCGGCUUUUCCUCCCAUCUGACUGAGCUCUGCCUUGGCCCUCACCUCCAGCCUGAGCCGGUGACCCUGUCAGGAGGAGCCCCAAGGCCCCCGGCGUGGACAGCACAGCCUGAGCCUGGAGAGGUUCUGGGCAGAAUGGUAGUCGGAGUGGGAAAAUCCACAGCUCAUGGUGCCACAGAGCCCCGGGUUCAAUCCAGGAGAGCAGAAUUCUGCCCAGCAGGCUAUUGUGGGGUCAAAAGUCGGCGCUGCAGGGUGUGGUGGAGCACACCUGUCGCCCGCACGGCACCGGGGAGGAGCCUGGGGCAGGAGGAUCGCCGUGAGUGCCAGGUCAGCCUGGACUACAGGAGACCCUGUCUCAAAACCCCCGAAUGAAACAGAGUUGACGGGAGAGAGCCCAGGCAGGCUGGCGCGUGUCUUCCUGUGUGGACAGCGCGCCCAGACUGAUCGCUCUGCUCGGGACAUGUCCUCCACACCCACGGCCUCCCCAGGCCACCGGUGUCCAGACAAAAAGAACAAAGUGGCAGAUGGAGGGAGAGUUCUACUUCCUGUCUCUGGACGCCAGCAUCGCUGCCAUUCCAGGCUGCAGGCGGAGUCUGGGCCCAGCACCUGGCCCGCGGCCAGCUCUCGAGAUUCCACUGCAGUGUGGGGUCAGACUUCUGCCCAGGCUGGGACGCUGCGGGCAGCAGCCCUCGAGCCCCGGUGUCCAGAACGCACUGAGCGUGUGAGAGCCACGACCUCAGGCUGCUGGGAGUGGCCAAGGAGAACAAGGGGACAUUAGAGUGGCCUGCUGGGCCACAGACACAGGGCCCAUUCAGCUCCAGGGCUCAGGAGCUGCCCGCUGCUUCUUGCCAGGGGCAAACUCUUAAAGGAGCUUUUGUUUUUCAAAUCAGAUAUGCAAAUAAGCUGAUAAGAAUUUUGGAAAAAUUCUCUAAAAUGAGAAUUUGGAAUCCUGGGAGGGAACCCUUCCUCCUGUGAGCUCCUGCCUCCUGCCUCCUGGAGGAAAUGGAUUUGAGAUGGGCAGAAGGAAGUGAGGAGGCCAACUUUCGUGUCUAUUUUAGUUUUCCAGCAAAGUCCUUUUUCCGGUUGGCUUUGGAUACACAAG